rnacentral:miRNA from 1 species
UUUGUUCAUCCUUGUCACUCCUGCAGCAGCAGCAGCAGCAGCAGCACCACCACCACCAGCAGCAGCAGCAG